rnacentral:rRNA from 1 species
GACGAACGCUGGCGGCGUGCCUAAUACAUGCAAGUCGAACGCUUCUUUUUCCACCGGAGCUUGCUCCACCGGAAAAAGAGGAGUGGCGAACGGGUGAGUAACACGUGGGUAACCUGCCCAUCAGAAGGGGAUAACACUUGGAAACAGGUGCUAAUACCGUAUAACAAUCGAAACCGCAUGGUUUUGAUUUGAAAGGCGCUUUCGGGUGUCGCUGAUGGAUGGACCCGCGGUGCAUUAGCUAGUUGGUGAGGUAACGGCUCACCAAGGCCACGAUGCAUAGCCGACCUGAGAGGGUGAUCGGCCACAUUGGGACUGAGACACGGCCCAAACUCCUACGGGAGGCAGCAGUAGGGAAUCUUCGGCAAUGGACGAAAGUCUGACCGAGCAACGCCGCGUGAGUGAAGAAGGUUUUCGGAUCGUAAAACUCUGUUGUUAGGGAAGAACAAAUUUGUUAGUAACUGAACAAGUCUUGACGGUACCUAACCAGAAAGCCACGGCUAACUACGUGCCAGCCGCCGCAGUAA